ensembl:lncRNA
GGAACACAGCCACGCAGAGCCCCCCCACCCCCACAGCCUGGCCCUGGGGGGGGCUGUCCCCACAGCGCAGCUGGGAGAGGGGAUGUGGUUCUGGGGCACGGCAGUGGGGGGGGGCGGGCUGUGACAGUGCUGCUCGGGGGCCACUCGGGGUCCCUCAUCCCACACUGCUGUGUGCGUGGAUGGCCCCGCAGCACGAGGGGGAGCAGACGGGGUCAGGCUGAGCAGCUGCCGGGGAUGUGCCCGAAGGGGCCGUGGGUGCACAAUGCCCCCAUUGAGGUGCUGCGGGGGGGGGGCACCCAAGGUGGCGGUGGCAGAAGGGACUCCAGUGUCACGCCAGGCCUCAAUCCCUGCUAUUUAUACCCGGCUCUCCUGCACACAGGCGCCCUUUGAGGCAGCGCGGAUGAAAGCGCGGCGCGGGGGCAUUCCUGAGGGCAGCUCCCCAACCCCCCAGCUUCCCUCCCCCCCCCAACCCGGCCCCUGGCAGGCGCCAACCCGCCAGGAAAGGCCCCACCAGCACCGGCAGCUGCGGCCACUUCCUCCCCACGAGUGGGGGGUGUGGGGCUGCAUGUGGGGCUGGAUGUAGGGCUGGACACAGGCUGGUUGUUGGGUUGGAUGUGGGGCUGCAUGUAGGGCUGGAUGUGGGGCUGGAUGUAGGGCUGGAUGUAGGGCUGGAUGUGGGGCUGCAUGUAGGGCUGGAUAUUGGGUUGGAUGUGGGGAUGGAUAUAGGGCUGGACACAGCGCUGGAUGUGGGGCUGGUUGUUAGGUUGGAUGUAGGGCUGGUUGCUGGGUUGGAUGUAGGGCUGGAUGUAGGGCUGGAUGUGGGGCUGGAUGUGGGGCUGGAUGUUGGGUUGGAUGUGGGGCUGGAUGUGGGGCUGGAUGUUGGGUUGGAUGUGGGGAUGGAUAUAGGGCUGGACGCAGGGCUGAAUGUGGGGCUGGUUGUUGGUUUGGAUGUGGGGCUGGAUGUGGGGCUGGAUGUGGGGCUGGGUGUUGGGUUGGAUGCAGGGCUGGAUAUAGGGCUGGAUGUGGGGCUGCAUGUAGGGCUGGUUGUUGGGUUGGAUGCAGGGCUGGAUACAGGGCUGGAUGUGGGGCUGGAUGUUGGGUUGGAUGUGGGAAUGGAUAUAGGGCUGGAUGUGGGGCUGGAUGUAGGGCUGGAUGUGGGGCUGCAGCUGGGCACUCACGGGAACCUCUUGGCGUUACCCCGGUGAAGCUGCUGGGGGCAGCAGAAAGAGGAGCCUCCCAGCUCCAUCGCCAGCCCCGGCCCCACACGGGGGUCCCACCGUGCACACCUGGGCCCGGCUGAGCCCCCCCCCCCCCCCCGCAUUGCAGCACCCGGUCGGUCGCUGCAGCAACCACUGCCAGCUCCGGGCCUAUUUUCUGAACCGGGGCCGCCGUGGGAACCUGGCUGCCCGCCACCUCAUUCCGCUCGGGCUCUCUGGGCCGCCUUUGUGGCCGGCAUGGAGCCCAGCUGGCAGCCGCUUCCUCCUGCCCCCCCCC